rnacentral:rRNA from 1 species
GUGGGGAAUUUUGGACAAUGGGCGCAAGCCUGAUCCAGCAAUGCCGCGUGCAGGAAGAAGGCCUUCGGGUUGUAAACUGCUUUUGUACGGAACGAAACGGUCCUGGCUAAUACCUGGGGCUAAUGACGGUACCGUAAGAAUAAGCACCGGCUAACUACGUGCCAGCAGCCGCGGUAAUACGUAGGGUGCGAGCGUUAAUCGGAAUUACUGGGCGUAAAGCGUGCGCAGGCGGUGCUGUAAGACAGGCGUGAAAUCCCCGGGCUCAACCUGGGAAUUGCGCUUGUGACUGCAGUGCUGGAGUGCGGCAGAGGGGGAUGGAAUUCCGCGUGUAGCAGUGAAAUGCGUAGAUAUGCGGAGGAACACCGAUGGCGAAGGCAAUCCCCUGGGCCUGCACUGACGCUCAUGCACGAAAGCGUGGGGAGCAAACAGGAUUAGAAACCCUGGUAGUCC